GGGCACAGAAAAGGAAUGGCUGAAAUUCAGCAGCUACAUCAGCAUCAAGAAAGGCCCACAGAGGAGCACUCCCCAACCUACAGUCUAAAGGAGAUAUAUGCCAGGCUUAUGUUUGAAUCAAAUGUUUGUAUUUGUGGUCCAAAUCCAUCAAGAGAGACACAAUCACAGUCUGCAAACUCUAAGUUUUCUCACUGAACAUGGCAUGGACCACAUGCUGAAGCUUUACCAGAGUUUCAGAAACUGCAUGGAUUACAGGGAAGCGUGUGCUCGCCAGGGAGAAUUGUAAGUACUUUUUCAAGACUUAGCCUCAAAACCAACUUCAGAGAGAAAGCAAAAUAUUGUUACUUCUUGAUAAAAUAUGAGAAAGG